rnacentral:rRNA from 1 species
GUAAUGAUGAUGCAAGAUCGACUAUGUCGAAUAAAAUUCUAGGUAGAAUUAUGAUAAUGACAUUGUCUGCCUAUGUGUCUUGACCAAAUUACGUGCCAGCAGUCGCGGUAAUACGUAGAAGACUAGUGUUAUUCAUGUUUNAUCGGUUUAAAGGGUACCUAGACAGCAAAUCAAGCUUUCAAAAAGAAAAGGACUAAUUUGCUAGAGUUACUUAUGAGGGGGCUUUAAAGUACUGAUGGUGUAGAGAUGAAAUUCUGUCAUACCUCUUUUCAAAAGAAAAAAUGAUGGCACUGGNAUAGGCGAAGGCAUCCCCCUAUGUGAUAACUGACGUUGAGGGACGAAGGCUUUUACAGCGAACAGGAUUAGAUACCCCCGUAGUCUAAGCAGAAAAUGAUGAAUGUCAUAGAUUAGAUGUAUAAGUUUAUUCUAUAAAUGAAAGUGUAAGCAUUCCACCUCCNGAGUAAUUUGGCAACAUUGGAACUGAAAUCAUUAGACCGUUUCUGAAACCAGUAGUGAAGUAUGUUGUUUAAUUUGAUACUCCGCAAAAAACCNUACCNCAAUUUGAAUAUUUAUAUUUUUUAUUGUUUUCUUAUUAAUUUUCUAUGAAGCAUGGUAAAUUAAAAAAGAGGCAAUAAGAUAUCUUUACNAGCGUUGCACGGCNGUCUUCAGUUAAUGUCGUGAGACUCUGGUUAGUUCCAUUAAAUUAACGUAAACCCUUNCUUUAUUUUUAUAUAAAGUAGUU